CCUACGGGCGGCAGCAGUGGGGAAUAUUGCGCAAUGGGGGGAACCCUGAUGCAGCGACGCCGCGUGGGUGAAGGAGUGCUUCGGCAUGUAAAGCCCUAUCGGCAGGGAAGAAGCAAGACGGUACCUGACUAAGAAGCCCCGGCUAACUACGUGCCAGCAGCCGCGGUAAUACGUAGGGGGCGAGCGUUAUCCGGAUUCACUGGGUGUAAAGGGAGCGUAGACGGCCAUGCAAGCCAGGGGUGAAAGCCCGGGGCCCAACCCCGGGACUGCCCUUGGAACUGUGCGGCUAGAGUGCGGGAGGGGCAGGCGGAAUUCCUGGUGUAGCGGUGAAAUGCGUAGAUAUCAGGAGGAACACCGGCGGCGAAGGCGGCCUGCUGGACCGCGACUGACGUUGAGGCUCGAAAGCGUGGGGAGCGAACAGGAUUAGAUACCCGUGUAGUC
rnacentral:rRNA from 1 species